UCCAGCUUAUCGCUGGCGGUCUCCUGCGAGUUCCCAACUUAAUGAUGGCAACACAGGACGAGGGUUGCGCUCGUUGCGGGACUUAACCCAACAUCUCACGACACGAGCUGACGACAGCCAUGCAGCACCUCGACUCCCGUCCCUUGCGGGAAAACCGUGUUUCCACAGUCGUUCGUGAGCCGUUCGAGCCCAGGUAAGGUUCUUCGCGUUGCGUCGAAUUGAACCACAUGCUCCACCGCUUGUGCGGGCCCCCGUCAAUUCCUUUGAGUUUCAGCCUUGCGACUGUACUCCCCAGGCGGGGCACUUAAUGCGUUAGCUACGGCACAGAUCACGUUGGUUGUGACCCACACCUAGUGCCCAACGUUUACGGCGUGGACUAC
rnacentral:misc_RNA from 1 species